rnacentral:rRNA from 1 species
AUGAAUGCCGGCGAUUUCAUCAGCCGCCUCCCGGACGCUGUCCUGGGCACCAUCAUCUCUUUACUCCCCACCAAGGACGGCGGCCGCACGCAGAUCCUCUCCCGCCGAUGGCGCCACCUAUGGCGCUCUGCUCCUCUCAACCUCGAGGUCAUCAUCGGGCCUCCCGGACCCUGUCCUGGGCACCAUCAUCCCUCCGCGAUCCACCACUCCACCGUCUCCAAGAUAAUCUCCCAACACCUUGGCCCUGCCCGCCGAUUCUGCCUCAAGCACCUGAUCGACGGCAACCUCCCUGAGAUGGAGAGCUGGUUGGACUCCCGAGCCAUCGUCAACCUCCAGGAACUCGACAUCACCAAUUACGCUGGAUAUAAGACCGGCUAUACAUUGCCGCAAUCCGUGUUCCGCUCCGCAUCCACACUUCUCGUUGCAAAGAUAAUGGGUUGCAAUUUCCCGGACGCGAUCACACGCUCCAUGAAUUUCUACCUCCUCAACCAGCUUUCCUUGGAUUGUGUUUCGGUCUCGGGGGAUGUGUUCCAUGGCUUGCUCUCCGGCUGCCAUGCCUUGGAGAGCUUAGCCAUGCUCGAAGUUCAUGCUACUGGUUGCCUCCGUGUUAGCUCGCCAACUCUUAGGAGCAUUGGCUUCCGCAAAGGAUCUCGUAAAAGAGCCGAAUUGGUCCUCGAGGAUACUCCUCGCCUUGAAAGGUUAUUAUUACCGUAUUGUGACCGGAAUAAUUUUGUGACUAUCCGGGUUAUUUGGGUGCCUAAACUGCAGAUAUUUGGGCCUUUCUCAACAGGCGCGUGCGAACUCUGGGUCUUCCAGGUAGCAGCAACAGACAUCAUUCAGCAUUCUUACAUGGAGAUAAUUGUUUUUGAUGUUUUAUUGUUUUCUUCAGGGAAUGAGCCCCGUCAGCUCGACAAACUCGAUAUGCACUGUGAAGGUUUGGGCCCUCGGGUGUUCUGA